rnacentral:rRNA from 1 species
AUUGAACGCUGGCGGCAUGCCUUACACAUGCAAGUCGAACGGUAACAGGUCUUCGGAUGCUGACGAGUGGCGAACGGGUGAGUAAUACAUCGGAACGUGCCCAGUCGUGGGGGAUAACUACUCGAAAGAGUAGCUAAUACCGCAUACGAUCUGAGGAUGAAAGCGGGGGACCUUCGGGCCUCGCGCGAUGGGAGCGGCCGAUGGCAGAUUAGGUAGUUGGUGGGAUAAAAGCUUACCAAGCCGGCGAUCUGUAGCUGGUCUGAGAGGACGACCAGCCACACUGGGACUGGGACACGGCUCAGACUCCUACGGGAGGCAGCAGUGGGGAAUUUUGGACAAUGGGCGCAAGCCUGAUCCAGCCAUUCCGCGUGCAGGAUGAAGGCCUUCGGGUUGUAAACUGCUUUUGUACGGAACGAAAAGGCUCUGGUUAAUACCCGGGGCUCAUGACGGUACCGUAAGAAUAAGCACCGGCUAACUACGUGCCAGCCGCCGCAGUAACAC